UGCCAGACUCCUACGGGAGGCAGCAGUGAGGAAUAUUGGUCAAUGGGCGAGAGCCUGAACCAGCCAAGUCGCGUGAAGGAUGACGGCCCUACGGGUUGUAAACUUCUUUUGUCAGGGAGCAAUUGGGUCCACGCGUGGGCUUAGCGAGAGUACCUGAAGAAAAAGCAUCGGCUAACUACGUGCCAGCAGCCGCGGUAAUACGUAGGGGGCAAGCGUUAUCCGGAAUUACUGGGUGUAAAGGGAGCGUAGACGGUGAAGUAAGUCUGGAGUGAAAGGCGGGGGCCCAACCCCGGACUGCUCUGGAAACUAUUUGACUGGAGUGCAGGAGAGGUAAGCGGAAUUCCUAGUGUAGCGGUGAAAUGCGUAGAUAUUAGGAGGAACACCAGUGGCGAAGGCGGCUUACUGGACUGUAACUGACGUUGAGGCUCGAAAGCGUGGGGAGCAAACAGGAUUAGAUACCCGUGUA
rnacentral:rRNA from 1 species